GCCAGGUGCCGUGGUGCGCACCUGUAGUCCCAGCUACUUAGGAGGCUGAGUUGGGAGGCUCGCUUGAGCCCAGGAGCAGAGGCUGCAGUAAGCCGAGAUCACCCCACUGCACUCCAGCCUGGGCGACAGAGUGAGACCUCAUCUCAA
rnacentral:SRP_RNA from 1 species